UUGGUGUGGUUGUUGCUGGCCCUCUCGGGGGCAUGUGCACACCCACCAUCCUCAUCUCUCCACCUGUGCACCUCUUGUAGACCUGGAUUGACUUUCCGAGGCAACUCGGUCGGGAAGAUUGCUGCGCUCUGUGAGCCAGCUUUCUUUGCAUGUCCAGGCCUAUGUUUUUCAUAUACCCCUAUAGAAUGUAACAGAAUGUAUCAUUGGGCCUUGUGCCUAUAAACCUUAUACAACUUUCAGCAACGGAUCUCUUGGCUCUCGCAUCGAUGAAGAACGCAGCGAAAUGCGAUAAGUAAUGUGAAUUGCAGAAUUCAGUGAAUCAUCGAAUCUUUGAACGCACCUUGCGCUCCUUGGUAUUCCGAGGAGCAUGCCUGUUUGAGUGUCAUUAAAUUCUCAACCUUAUUAACUUUUGUUGAUAAUGGAUUGGAUUGUGGGGGUUUCUUUUGCUGGCUUCUUCACAGAGAUCAGCUCCCCUUAAAUGCAUUAGCUGGUGCCCCGCGUGGACCAUCUAUUGGUGUGAUAAUUAUCUACGCCGUGGAUGUCUGCAAUCAUAUGGGUUUCGCACUGCUUCUAACCGUCUGUUCAUUCGGACAAUACAUGACGAUUGACCUCAAAUCAUGUAGGACUAC
rnacentral:rRNA from 1 species